CCUAGAUCUUUCUGCUUUACCUCUCCUCUCCUCUGGGAAGCUGCAAAAGGCAUUUUUAAGAUGAAAACCAGUCUGAGAGUUCAUAUACUUUGUCCUUAGAAGCACAAUCUCACUUGUCAAUUGGUUCCUGACUUUUGAUGGCAGAAAAUGACUACUGUAAUUCUGAGAUCUGAAUAUCUAUGUUUAAUUAUUCAAAUUGCUUCACGGGCAUUCAAGUGUAUAAGCAAAUAUAUGUUCCUCUUCACGUGCUUAAAUCAUUCAGUCAUCUCUCUUUGUGACCUCAUAGACUGUAGCCCGCCAAGCUCCUCUGUCCAUGAAAUUCUCAAGGCAAGAAUACUGGAGUGGGUAGCCACUCCCUUCUCCAGGGGCGCUUCCAACCCAGGGAUCAAACCUGGGUCUUCUGCACUGCAGGCAGAUUCUUUACCACUGAGCCACCAGGGAAGCCCUUAAUUGUUACACCAUUAUUUACAUUUGAAAUAGUUCCUUGAAGAUAAAUCCAAACAUUUCAAGAAUUCAUUAUUUUGGUGACUUACCAUUCAGCUAUAUUGAUAUCCCAAGAUAUAAUGAAAGUACAUAAGCUGAAAAGGUGUUGCUUACAUAUUUUACGAAUCCAUUCUUCAUAAGCACUAGAUUUGACAGCUUUUGUAGGAAUAUUUUUAAAAAUGUUAGGUUAAAGCUAUGGAUUUCAUACAAUUUCAUAGUUAAAAGGCAUCAAAGAAGAUUUUUAAAUUAAGCACAUAAAUUGUGUUAGAAAAGGGGAAAAUGGGUUUUAAAAUAUUUUAUAGGAAGAGACACUUCAGAAGGCUGUUUGUUACUGGCUGGAGUUACGACCUGCUGUAUUUCAAAUUUUCCCAUUGUCCUACCUAACAUUCAGAAGAUGUAAAAUAUAUAGACUAAACGAAGGACGGCGACUGAAGAAGUUUCUCACAGUCCAGCUGAAGAGCUGAAACACCUUCAUCACUCCACUAAAGACGCUCAUUAGCAUCCCCAAAGACUUGUAUUUUGCUAAAUCUGAGGCCCCUGCCUCUUCACUCCGGUCAUCUUAUUUUAACCUCACAGCAGCAUUUGGUUGAUCACUCUGCAUUGAAAUUCCUAGUUUAGGUUAUACUACUCUCUUUACUAUCAAGCUCCUAGGUCACUUUUGUUUCUUCUGCUGGCUCUGCCUCUUGUCCAGAAAUACGCUUCCUCAGUCAUCCCAUUUCAUUUAAUACCAUUAUCUACCUGUUGCUCAGUAAGAAACCUGGGAGCCAUUCUUGAUGUCUUUUUCCUUUACAACCUUCAGUCUAAUCCUAAGCAAGUCCUGUUGCCUACCCUGAUUUUGUGCUCUUUCCAAAUCCUAGUCUAAAAAGCCUCUAUUAAUGUCCCAGAUUUCUGCAAUGGGCUCCUCAUAGUCUCCCAGAUUACAAAACUGCCCCAAGUAACUAAUCAUUUCUCCAUACAAGAGCCAGAAUCUUAAUAUUACAUAUAUAAGAAUUUAAAACUUCCAAUGGCUUUCCACUGUAUUUAGAAUAAAAUCUCAAACCAUCUGGUCCACAAGCAGCUCUCUCCUCUUAAUAUUACACUCUACCUUUCUUGAAUUUUAUACCUGUCCCAUCUCAGAUGUACUUAACUGCUCUGCCUGGACUGCUCUUCCUGUAGAUCUGCAUAGCCAAGCCCUUUUCUUACUCUUGUGUGAAACUUUCAUAUCCUCAGAGAUGCCUCCCCAUUUUGACUGAUUGAUAGAAUUUUAUCUGAAAUUAUCUGUUUCUCCCUAGAGAACUAAGCUCUUUGAGCACAGGGAUAAUUUUGUUCUUUAUGGUGUCCCUCAACCUUAGGAAAUAUCACAUAGUCCCUAGCAUAUAGUAGGCACAUCAUUUUUAUCUGUUAAAUAAACAGAUGGGGAGUUAGAAAAAAGGCAUGUUCCCUCAGUAUUCUAAGUACUUUUAGAUAUUUUCCCCCCUCUCUGACUGGUGAAGAUGAUUAUGAGAAAGCAGAAAGACCAAGUUUUAAAUACCAGCCUACACAAUAAAGUACAUCAGCUUGUGGUCUAUACUCAUUCACAAUACAACUUGGUUUUAAUAGGUCCAAAUAGGUAACUUUUCUUCAGUUGAAGGCCAUUAACCCUCAGAAGAUUAACUGUAACAAUAAAAUCUAAAAUAGGUUUCUGGAAAGAAAACUGCAAAUUUCCAUUCAUUACUCUUAAAAUUGAGUAAUUUUAAGGGGCUGUAAAACUGUUAAGUACAACAAACCAAAACACGAGUGAAAAUACUAGAUGUAUGGUGCUUGUUUAGUUCCUUGCGAUACUACCAGCUCAUGCCCUUCCAAUGUUUCCAAUGUUGCUGAAACAGGAAGCAGUUAAGCUGCCCCACUCUUUCCCUCCUAUUGCCAUAACCUGGAAGGCCCAACAAUUUGAAAUGUGCAGGAACACUGGUUUUAUACAUUUACAUUGGCAUCUUGGCCACAGGGUUAUUAAUCUGUUGAAGUUUUUUGACUUUCAAAAGCUGACUGCAUUACUGUACUUUGAGAUCAGGGUUGACCCAUUCUACUAGGUUGAAGGUCACACCUGGGAACAAUAUUAUUUUUACUUACAAAAAAAAAUUUCAUCAGUGGUUUCUUAGACUUUGCAGCCCUUGAAGUGCUCAUUUUAGAGGAUCAGAAUAGGGAUUUGGGAGAGUACAUUUCUUCCCCUACUUGACUUAAUUUCCUGCUUAUAAGUGUUUAAUUUUAUAUUGAAGGCUUAAUUCCUGAGACAUUUUCUUGCAACAUGAAUUGUUCCAUGACAGACCAUUAAACAGGGUUCAGGAGAGGCCAACACUUCUAUGAAUGUUGCAAGCCGAACAAAGUAAUCUUAAAAGCGGAACAUAUUUAAACCUUGAUUUCCAAACCAAAUGAGUAAGAUUUUUGAGUACUGCUUUCUGAGAAACAUACUUAAAAUAUUUAAAAAGCUAUUUUAUUAAAGUAUAUAUAUUGAAUUAUUUGAUCAAAUACAUAAAGUGCAUUGUUUAACGCCAUUGUGCUGGUCUUGUGCUAAUUAAUAUUUACACAGAAGAUAUCUAAGAGGCACAUCAUGUAAUUUUUAUUACUGAUAAAGAAUGUGUACUGCCCAAAAUCCUUGAGUACCUAAGUCUUAAAGCCUCUUGUAACUCAUCAUGCACAUAUCAGUCGAUUCUCAAGGGUUAAUCUGUGAGACUUCCAAUUUCAGAUAGACAUUCUCUGCCACGCUCUUAAUCACCUGCUUCCUACCACCUAGUGAGUUCAAGGAAUUUAGGUCAUUUUUAACACUAGCUUAAGAAGAAAAUACAGAAAACUCAUAAUGCAAACAACUAUGGAACAAAUUGCAAAAUCAAACGUUUGCAUUUCCCAUAACAUUCCAUUUCUUUGUUGAUAUAUAGUUAAAAUUUAAUUACCCUCAGCAUUAUUUAAAAACAGAUGCAUAAAACUAUUUUAGUAAAUAGUAGGAGGAAAACAUCUUAACAAAAAUUAUUCAACACAGCACUAAUAUGUUACUAAUUCAGUAAGCAUGCAAAAACUUCUGACAACUUCAUGGGAUGAUUACAAGUUCUAGAUUACUUUAGCUCCAUAAACUCAUAGGAUAAAUGUCCAAAAAACCCAACCUUUAUCAUUUAAAGAUGCCUUAUUUCAGAAUUAACAAACAACCUAAUACCUCUAGAUUAAAUCUGGACACCGUCUUCCACAUGAAACCUGUCAUAACAUAGAAGUUACUGGUACACUGGCCAUUCUUUCAGUGAUGUAAGCCUGAGUAAGAAACAAGUGAUAUUAAAUUAUGGAAACUGGAAAAAAAAAUUACUGUGAUGGACUGGGGAGUGAAUUUUUUACUCCAACAAAUAUGUAUACACCAACAAACAUACACACAAUAGCACUGGCUAGCCAUUAGUGUGGUUAUCCUGAACAUGUUUACAAUGUAAAAUCCUGGCCAAGAAGAAAGUUGGCCCCAAACAGUAAUGUAAGUAUUUAAGAAACAAUUUUUUUUCUUGCCUAUCAAAGGGUUUUUAAGGUAUAGUUGGCAUCUACCUUUGAUAUUCUAAGAUUUGAUGGCAAGAGCUGACUUUUAAUUAUUCUAACAGGUUUAAAAAUAACAUAUGACACUAAAGGAGUAAAACUUAUAAGACCACACAUUAGUUUCUUCUGGGAUAUUAUCAGAUUAAAUCUUUUCAGAUUUAAAAACAAACGGAGUGACACUAAAUUUUAAUUUUGAGGAUAUUUAGAAUUCACUGACACAGUUGUUCUGUGGUACUUACUAUCAUUAAACAUAAAUUCUCCAAAUGGCACUAUUUCAACUUUCCUAAAAAUUCCAAAACUUAAACCUUUUCAAAUCUCAUCUAGUGAUUCAAAGUGAAGUAAACACAACUUUUGAAUCAUUGGUUAAUCCAUGCUAUUAAGGGCACACACUAGCUAGAAGAUACAUAGUAAAAUUUAAUUAUCUAGAGUUAAGCAGAACUUCUAAUACACUGAUAUUUAGAAAGUUAAUUUCUGUAUGUCUACAUGAAGAAGUUUUUACAAAUUAUCCUACUUAUAACUAUCAAAAUGAAUAUAGGAUACUACCUGAGCAGGAUUAGAAGGGGGGGGGGGAACCUAAUACAAAGAAACAAAAACAAGCAAAGCCUCCAAAAAAAAAAGAAAGGUGGGGAGAGGAGAUAAAUUUUGAAUUUUGGUCACACAAUAGAAGACUAAAAUCAUUCAGCUUCAAGCUCUGAGACCUGACAUCCAGCCUCUUGUUCUAAGUCCCUGUUCUAAGUAUUUACACUUUGAAACAAAACAGUCAAAAGUCAAUUCCUUAAAAUGUUUUAUGUCACUUAUAUCUAAAAACAAAACUAUCAAAAAACACAAAAGCCAAUUCCUUAUGUUUUGUUACAUCUAAGUUCAAAAUGAUGUUUAUCUCCUUCCAAAUGUUAUAAAUUCUACAUAAAAAUGAAUAAAUCUCAUAUAAAGAAUGAAAUUCCUAGCUUUACUAGAGAUUUGUACACUCUAGUUUUUGCUUUUAUAUUUUAAAUCAAAUGAAAGUUUCUGAGGUUUAUUUAAAGCAGUAUUAGAGUAAGAUUUGGAGAAGGCGAUGGCACUCCACUCCAGUACUCUUGCCUGGAGAAUCCCAUGGAUGGAGGAGCCUGGUGGGCUGCAGUCCAUGGGGUCGUGAAGGGUCGGACACAACUGAGCGACUUCACUUUCACUUAGAGUAAGAUUAUUUUUAAAAAGCAGGCUUGAUAAACAAAUGCUUAGAGUAUUUCUAAGUCCUUACAAAAAAACAUAAGAGGAAAGUACCAAGCAAAUACCUUUUUAUUCUUGGAGUAAACUGACUGUUAUUCUAUACCAGCAUAAUCUGCUUCUCUGGACACCCUCAUUCCCAGCC
ensembl:lncRNA